rnacentral:lncRNA from 12 species
AAAAUAUUUAUGGCGAGUUCUCCAACUUAAAAGACACCAGAGGCUCCUGGAAGACAGCUGAGGCAGGGAGAGCACGGGAGGCAAAUGAAUUGUCAGAGGUCACCCCGGGAGCAGCUCCCGUUUAUCCCAUUCCCAAAGAUUUGAAUUCCGGCGUCUCCUUGAGGCCUUG